rnacentral:rRNA from 1 species
CCUACGGGGGGCAGCAGUGGGGAAUCUUGCACAAUGGGGGAAACCCUGAUGCAGCGACGCCGCGUGAGCGAUGAAGCCCUUCGGGGUGUAAAGCUCUUUCGGCAGGAACGAUAAUGACGGUACCUGAAGAAGAAGCUGCGGCUAACUACGUGCCAGCAGCCGCGGUAAUACGUAGGCAGCGAGCGUUGUUCGGAGUUACUGGGCGUAAAGAGUGCGUAGGUGGUUGUCUAAGUUUGGUGUGAAAUCUCCCGGCUCAACUGGGAGGGUGCGCCGAAAACUGGGUGACUAGAGUGUGGGAGAGGAAAGCGGAAUUCCUGGUGUAGCGGUGAAAUGCGUAGAUAUCAGGAGGAACACCUGCGGUGUAGACGGCUUUCUGGACCACUACUGACACUGAGGCACGAAAGCGUGGGGAGCAAACAGGAUUAGAUACCCCGGUAGUC